ensembl:lncRNA
UUUGUUUUAUUUUGCGAGUUGGUUAUUAGAUGCUGCUCCAGCCAGCCAGAGAAUCCCCCGCCGCCCCGCCCUCUCCUCCCUGUGCCGCAAGCAGCAGGCGCACCUCGCAAACGGAGGGCGCCCUUACUCCCAGCAAAUGGGCGAUAAAAAACCGAUCGGUGCCAAUGACAUUACCAAUAUGCGCUGGCUGCCGUCGGGGCAGCAUGAGUACGAGCAUUUUUUUUUAAUUAUUUUUUUUGUGCCGAUGCCCGUGAUGCCGCCCCCCAUCACGAUGCCGCCCCGGGCAACCGCCCGUGUCGCCCGUAUCUAAAACCGCUACUGAAUGCUGGGAUAAGAUAGAAUGGCUGUUGUGAAAAGGGCCUAUUUAAUAUGGCCACACAUUGAAGAAGUUAGAGAUUAGCUACAGAAGACUUAAACUGUUUUUAAUACUUGGGAGGUUGUCCUGAGACAUCAAGGUAGUUUGACCUAAUUUACUGUUUUUAUUGUAAUUAUUUAGUCGCAAACUGUAUACUAGCUGCAGAGAUUUUGAACUGUAAUUUCCAGGUAGUGUCCCAGUGAUAUAUCCUAGUGAACCAAGAUGCAAAAUGGCAGGGUUUCAUGCACCCACUGUCUCUGCAGGCUGUCCAGAGCAGUGUCUUUGCCUCGGUGUCCGGUGAAUGACCCCACGCAGUCCUGAGCUCAUUUACACGCACACUUUCUAAAGAGUCCUCAAGUCUUCCUCUGCGCUUUUCCUACAGGAUCCGUGAUGACAACUAACCCCCAGGCAGCCAAACCUUGAACACAAGUGCGCAUGUCUUCAUUAAAAGACACCUGAUGCAGCAAACAGUCAGAAAACUAAUUGACUUACUUGCAGCGAAAGUGAUCUGUGCCACUGUCCCCAUAGAGGUGGGUCCUCCCUGCCGCAUCACCUUCCGCGCUGCGUGAAACACAUAAGCUCCAGACAGGAUCAGCCCACCUCCGGAGAUAAGCCUGCAGCUCCAGCAGCUCUUAAACAUCUGGCUGGGUUUGGACACGGGGGCAUUUGCUCCUCCUGUUGGCGGCUCUGGCCCUGUUGACAUUGUACCACAGGGUGCUGCUAAUGCUAAUGCCCUUGGUUAUAAACUUCUAGAAACGUCAAACAUGAAAAAUAAACCGGAAACUGUUCCGGGUUUAGUUCGAAUAACUCGCCCAAAUGAAGAACAAAGUUAGAUACUUAACACAGAUGCUAUUUUCACUGGCUGAAGAAAGGUCGGAAUUAGCAAAGUGGUUCCAGGUCAUGGCACUAACGUUUCCUAUCUGGUAUUUUCAAAAUAAAAGUUGUACUUUACUACGGAAGCGUAGAGCUGCCACUCAAAACCAAUGACUGUAGAAAACGUGGACGACGCGACAGUCAUUUUCUACAGUCAUUGCUCAAAACAAACGGUCGUCUUUGAAAAAAAAAAAAGGACAAAGAUCUACAGAAAACAUUAAAAAAAAAUUGUGAUAAAUAUUCAACAAUCGUAAUUUUCCAUUAAUAAAAACAAAUUAUCUUAUAUCAUCUAAGAGGAAAUUUCUUUCCAAAAGAAGUUGCAAUUUAAUUUUAAAUAUGAACUUACCGAUCUAAAGUUAUAUUGUAUUCAUAUUCCAUAUUCAGUUUGGUGAAGUGACAGAGAUCUCAUUAUACAGGUGCAUGUGGUACUAAGAGGAAAAGCCUGACUCACAAAAAAAUAAUUGCCAGAUUUAUUGAACCUUCUGAUUAUUGAAACAGAUGCUGCUUACGUAAGAGACCUGCAGCAUAAUCUGGAAUCAGCUAGAGCUAAUGUCCACGGUUUAAGACAUUUAACACAUAGUUUUUAUUAAAUUAAAUACAUACCUAAAGUGGAAAUAACUUCAAGUCCACUAGCAUGUUGAGGUCACAGAAACAAGAAAAGAAGCGUGACUUCACAGUAAUGUUUGGAGUCUCGGUCAUCCUCUGUGAAAAAUUCACCUAAACAUUUGACAUUUAUAGUAAUAAUACUAACAAAAAAAUAUUAUUAUUAUUUUUGUUGUUGUUGUUGUUGUUGUUGUUAAUAAACGUUCUGCCGAAUACAUUUUUGACAGGCCAAGAUAUGAAAAAUUACAUUAAAAAAAUAGAGACUGAAUACACUGAAGAAGAAAUCAAAUAUGAGUUUUUAUUCAAAAAGGGAAAGUUGGUGAGGUGACUUGCAUAUUUGAACAUUUCUCUCAAAGUAAGUUUUAGUUUCAAAUCAAGGUGAAUCACAAAGUCCUCUUAAGUCAGGGCCUGACCGUAUUUAACCAGAAUCAUUUUAGAGUGGCCACCAAAAUGCAGCAAAAUAACUCGUGAACAAAAUACUGUGCACUGGUUUGUAAUUUCUCUAGAACAACAUAUGCAACAAACGUAAGAAUCUUAAGACAUACCAUGCCAAACAAAACUUACUCUUUCUCCUCUUAUUUUAAAGCCUGGCAGAUGACAUGGCUAGCAGUUGGAUGAAGAGAUUGCAGAGAUGGCUGGUCUGUGGGCUUAACAGGAGUCGGUAGAGGUUGUUGGAGAGGUCCUUCUCUCUCUUCUUAUUGUUUUGGAAAUACUGGGAGCAUGGAACAAAAAGAGGAGAUAAAGGAACAAGAUCUAAAACAAAAACACUCUUUUUUUUUUUUUUUUUUUUUUUUUUUUUUUUUAUUGAUUGAUUGAUUUUUAUUGAUUAGCAUACAGAAUACAAAAUAAAGAUUACCAAAAAGCAAAAAAAAUCAUGAGACAAGGCUAAUCAAAG